AACGAACGCUGGCGGCAUGCCUAACACAUGCAAGUCGAACGAGACCUUCGGGUCUAGUGGCGCACGGGUGCGUAACGCGUGGGAACCUGCCCUUAGGCUCGGAAUAACUCCCCGAAAGGGGUGCUAAUACCGGAUAAUGUCUUCGGACCAAAGAUUUAUCGCCUUUGGAUGGGCCCGCGUUGGAUUAGCUAGUUGGUAGGGUAAAAGCCUACCAAGGCGACGAUCCAUAGCUGGUCUGAGAGGAUGAUCAGCCACACUGGGACUGAGACACGGCCCAGACUCCUACGGGAGGCAGCAGUGGGGAAUAUUGGACAAGGGGCGAAAGCCUGAUCCAGCAAUGCCGCGUGAGUGAUGAAGGCCUUAGGGUUGUAAAGCUCUUUUACCCGGGAUGAUAAUGACAGUACCGGGAGAAUAAGCUCCGGCUAACUCCGUG
rnacentral:rRNA from 1 species